UCUCUUUGGCUAAUAGAAAUCGAGAUAAAUAUGCUGGACGAGAAGCUGAUCAAGUUUCUGGCCUUGCAGAGAAUACAUCAGCUUUUCCCCUCCCGGGUCCAACCUUCACCGGGCAGUGUCGGGACACAUCAGCUGGCUUCUGGAGGGCACCACACAGAAGUGCAAAGAAAGGAGGUACAGGCCCGAGCUGUGUUCUACCCCCUCUUAGGGUUGGGAGGAGCUGUGAACAUGUGCUAUCGAACCCUCUACAUCGGGACAGGAGCUGACAUGGAUGUGUGCCUUACAAACUAUGGUCACUGUAACUACGUGUCCGGGAAACAUGCCUGCAUAUUCUACGAUGAGAAUACCAAACAUUAUGAGCUGUUAAACUACAGUGAGCAUGGGACAACGGUGGACAAUGUGCUGUAUUCAUGUGACUUCUCGGAGAAGACCCCGCCAACACCCCCAAGCAGUAUUGUUGCCAAAGUGCAGAGUGUCAUCAGGCGCCGCCGGCACCAGAAACAGGAUGAAGAGCCAAGUGAGGAGGCAGCCAUGAUGAGUUCCCAGGCCAAGGGCCGCAGCGGAGACCCUGCAAUUGCAAAGCCAGCAGCUCAAGCUUGAUUGGGGGCAGUGGGGCCGGCUGGGAGGGCACGGCCUUACUGCACCAUGGCAGCUACAUCAAGCUGGGCUGCCUGCAGUUUGUCUUCAGCAUCACUGAGUUUGCGACCAAACAGCCCAAAGGCGAUGCCAGCCUGCUGCAGGAUGGGGUCUUGGCCGAGAAGCUCUCUCUCAAGCCCCACCAGGGCCCUGUGCUGCGCUCCAACUCCGUUCCCUAGGACUGGCAGCUACCCUGCUACUGGCCUGUACACCCACCCAAGACUCCUGCAAUGCAAAAAUGUACACAAACCAAGCCCGGGUGUUUUCUAUACUCUACCAGAAACGCUUCAACUACAAUCUUUGCAUGAAAUGAAGAAAACCUUUUGACUGUUUUUUAAAAAUCCUUUUUCUUUCCUCAAGUUCUAGGGGGCAUUUGCACAUAUAUUUGUACUCAACAUUUCAUGGGAAAGCGGCAAACCCGAGCUGAGGAACAGCGUGGGCAGGGAGGGAAAGACCCAUGGUCUGGACACUUCCUCCAACACAAAACCCUUCCCCACCCAUCUACUACUCCCUCCCCCUCGCCCGCCGUUGUAAAAUAAUCAGAAACUUGUUCUAUUUUGUGGCAGUGACAAUAGUUUUAUAUUAAAGAAAAAAUACAGUUUUCAUACAGCAAAAUCUAUACAAUAUCAUUGUUUUAUUUAAUAUAAAGAUCGCUACCCACCUUCCUUCCAUGGUUCCCACCCUCCACGUUAUUUUCCCUUUCUGCAGCAGUUGCACUACAGGUAGCUACUGUGUAUUAUGGACAAAUGAGAAAUGAAUUCUUUUUCUGGCUGUCCAUCUGUUUUAUUUCAAAUAAGGAAAAGUGUAUUUGGAUUUUGUGUAAAUACAUCUAGUGAUGACAUUUUUUCAAUGUUUUUAAAAACCGUGUACAGUACUACAUGUGGUAGAGCGUUUUCUCAAAUUGUCUAUUGUAGCAAAAAUGUUUUUGUCGUAAA